UGAAUGUUUUUUGUCUUUCAGGAAAUUGAAAAUCAAAUAGACAGAAUAUGUGAGAUGGGAGAGGUGAUGAGAAAAGCUGUUCAAGUGGAUGAUGAUCAGUUCUUUAAAGUUCAGGAGAAACUGGCUCAGCUGGAGCUUGAAAACAAAGAGCUGCGUGAACUGUUGUCAAUCAGCAAAGAAUCUUUCGAGGUGGAGAGAGAAGAUCUGCCGGACUGUGAAGCGUAGGCCACAAAAAACCUCACCUCCAAACCUCCAGGGACUGUUAUGAAACUGCCUGACAAGGAUUUGUUCUUUCAGGUUGUUUCCUUGUAUAUCUGUUUUAUCUUUCAAGUGUGUGGGCUGUUUUUCUCUGCGCUUUCCUGAAGUGUUGAUGGCAGAGGCUUGUUGCUCUGUCUUAGGAUGCUUAACACUGAAGUAUUUGAUGUGUCCUCCCCUGUGAUCGUUCAUUUCCUCCCCCUUUGUCAUUUUUUUAUGAGCUUUAGGUAAUUUAAUUCCAGCUGUGCAGUUGGCUUUUAGAUCCACCUCAUCUGUAGCUCGAGAACAUAAUGCAGGUUGUGAUUAUUGUGCUUGAUAGAGGGAAUAAGAGAUUAUCCAAAACCCACGUUGUAAAUGGCAGGGGCCUGGUUUGCUCUGGCUGCACGGAGCAGUUUUGCUUUGCAGAGUGACCCCUCAGGGUUUGGAUGGGUUGACUUUGCUGCCUGGACUGGCUUUGUUACCUGGGUUGACUCUGUUACCUGGACACUUAGGAGCAGGUAAGAGAACAGCAGGUGCCAGCAGGGCACUUGAAGCAGUCACUCCUAUUCAGAGCAAACUUUACCUUGUUUUAGGGGUGACAAUCAGUGGAGAACCCUUCCUGACACAAACCUGGGCGGUUUUGAAGGACUCUGCAUAUUUGCCUGUUCUUUUUUUCAGUGGAUAGACCUGUCCCAGCCUUACCAGUGCUCCCAGGGGUGUGGGUGCUGGCCAGCCCUGGGCUGUUGGUGUGCUCAGACCCUGCCCAGAGCUCAGCACCUUCAGAUCAAAGCUCUUUGUCCUCCCACCACUUUGGACUCAGGAAGAGUGAGCUCAGGUCUGCCUCAAAAAUAACCAAAACCGACCACACACACACAGAUUUUUAAUGUCACUUCACAGGUGAGUGUAGUGACAGGUGUUCCAUAGUUACUGCACUGAGUGAAAUUAGAGUUGCAGCGUUGUAGGAAUUUAUCAACAUGGUGAUAUUUUUAUUGACACUUUUAUAUAAAGAUCUGUCUGACCUGUGAUCAAAGAAAAAUCCCCCAAGAACAAUAAACAUCUAAUUUCCAAUAUUAGUUUAAAUUUUUAUGCCACUUUUUCCCAAGCAAGACUUUCGACAGAUGCAGAAGGCAACUUGUUCCUGUGCUUGUUAAGAGACAUUUCCUUGUGAACAUCUGGAAUAUCCAGCAAGACUGGUAGAUAUAAGGGAUUUCUGUACAGGAGUGUUCUUGCAUACAAUCCUUUUCUAUUAGGAAUUGUUUAGGAGGGAAUAAAAAAACUCAGUGAGAAGUAA